GUGCAUUUUAGAAGCCAAAGAGAACAAAUUUCUUGAAAUUUCCCAAAAUGACACUACAGAUUGUGCAGCCCGACGACUGAUCAUAUUUAAUGAGAUUGAGACUCUAAACUAUCCUAACUCAAAGUUGCGGGGUCUAUUCUAUGGCAAUAGUUAUAACCUUCUGCCUUUUAGAGCUCUGAAAGGACAACUUGGCAGAUUUAAAUUACUAAGAGUGCUUCUUUUGGCUAGUUCGGAUAUAUCAGAAUUUCCUAGUGAAAUUAAAUCAUUAAUUCAUUUAAGAUAUCUUGCGUUGUAUAAUGAUGAUUUGAAGGAAGUUCCAUCAUGGAUUGGUCAUCUCCGUAAUCUCCAGACUUUUAUUGUAUCCUCUGAUGAGUUAGAAAAGAUAUCAGAUUCACUUUGGACAAUUGGCAAUCUCAUUCAUGUUGAUCUACAAAAUGCAUCAAGGGUUCCUCCUCCAAAUAUGGGAAAUAAUGUACCAAAGAAUUUGCAGACUUUAGAAGGGGUAAAUGCUGGACCAUGGAUAGGGAAUGCACUUCCAAAGCUCACAAACCUAUGCGAAUUGAGCAUAGAAAAAGUCUCUAAUGAUCAUGCCGAUGCCCUAUCUUCAUCACUCCAGAAAUUGGGUCGUCUUGCCUCCUUUUCUAUAGAGAAUGAUCCUGAUGAUGGAAAUGAAAUUCCUUUGGACAACAUCAUUACAACCUUUUCCAAUCAACACUGCCUCAAGGAAUUACAUCUCAGUGGAAGUUUGAACCGCAAACAACUUCCACACAAUGAUGUAUUUCCUCAACAACUAGUGGAUCUAUUUCUGGAAUUUUCUAAAUUGGAGCAAGACCCAAUGGCAACACUAGAGAAGCUGCCAUGUCUCAAAUAUCUACGACUCUAUUAUGAUACAUAUAGAGGCAAACAGAUGAUGUGUUCGACAACAGGUUUCCCUCAAUUGUUAUCCUUGUUUAUUGGGGCUCUUCACGAACUUGAGGAGUGGACAAUAGAGGAGAACGCAAUGUCAUGCCUCAAGUCUUUGCAAAUCUACGAAUGUAUUAGGUUGAAGAUGAUUCCAGAAGGACUGAAGAAUUUGCCACUUGAUCAAUUGAAUUUAACAUCUAUGUCUGAAGAAUUUAAAACUAGGAUGAAGGAGAAUACAGGAGAAGACUGGUACAAGAUACAACAUGUGCCCAACAUCUACAUUUUUUAAUAAUAUUAACAUAUGCAGCCGCGCAAUGGAUAAUAUGUUCAAUUGUUAGUUGCCUUCAAAAGGAGCGGCGUGCGUGAGGAGUGCUUUUGGACUUCAAAGGAACUCCAUAUUAAGUCAGCAAGCAAGGGAGCAUACAUGAAGUUUCUUAUAUAUGAACUCUACUUCAAUAAUUGAUGUUUGUGUGGAUGUCUGUGAUUUUAUUUAUGUAAUUUUGUAUGGGUUUGAUAUUUUGUGGUUAUAUGGCCACACAUAUAUGUUUAUAUUUGUGA